rnacentral:rRNA from 1 species
UACGUAGGUGGCUAGCGUUGUCCGGAUUUACUGGGCGUAAAGAGCGCGCAGGCGGUCGUUCAAGUCGAGUGUGAAAGCCCCCGGCUCAACUGGGGAGGGUCACUCGAUACUGAUCGACUUGAAGGCGGGAGAGGGAAGCGGAAUUCCCGGUGUAGUGGUGAAAUUCGUAGAUAUCGGGAGGAACACCUGUGGCGAAGGCGGCCACCUGGAAGAUUACUGACGCCGAGACGCGAAAGCGUGGGGAGCAAACAGG